rnacentral:miRNA from 2 species
UACUGGCCUGCUAAGUCCCAAA